GAUGAACGCUGGCGGCGUGCCUAAUACAUGCAAGUCGAGCGAACGGACGAGAAGCUUGCUUCUCUGAUGUUAGCGGCGGACGGGUGAGUAACACGUGGAUAACCUACCUAUAAGACUGGGGUAACUUCGGGAAACCGGAGCUAAUACCGGAUAAUAUUUUGAACCGCAUGGUUCAAAAGUGAAAGACGGUCUUGCUGUCACUUAUAGAUGGAUCCGCGCUGCAUUAGCUAGUUGGUAAGGUAACGGCUUACCAAGGCAACGAUGCAUAGCCGACCUGAGAGGGUGAUCGGCCACACUGGAACCGAGAAACGGGCCCGAAUCCUAAGGGGAGGCACAGUAGGGAAUCUUCCGCAAUGGGCGAAAGCCUGACGGAGCAACGCCGCGUGAGUGAUGAAGGUCUUCGGAUCGUAAAACUCUGUUAUUAGGGAAGAACAUAUGUGUAAGUAACUGUGCACAUCUUGACGGUACCUAAUCAGAAAGCCACGGCUAACUACGUG
rnacentral:rRNA from 1 species